UUUUCUGUAUGUUUCAGAAGAAAGAAAAAAAAAAGGAGACGCGCGCGCGGACGGAGACUGUUUCCAGGACAGCGCGAGCGCGUCUGUCAGUCAGAGCAGCGCGAGCGCACCCGUGGAAAAUGAAAGAAGGCAGAUAAAACUCGAAUCUUCCGGUCCCCACGACGUGCCACAAAAAGA